GACUGGUCUUCAACUCCUCCAGGCAACUGAAAUUGAAUUUUUUAAAGUCUUAAAACCUGAAUAAAAGUGCUUUCAGAGGUAUCACUUCUGUAUAUGAGUAAUGGGUUCAUCAAAAAUCCUUUCUUCUGAAUAAAAGAAGAGCCCCUAAUGGUUUCCAUUCAGUGUUAUGAAUGUGGAGGAGCUGCAGUUGAGUACACACAGUAAAAACAUGACAUCUCACUGUAUGUAAUGAAAUGGUCCUAAAAACAGAAGGAAACAUUGUGAUCUGAAAAUAUUUC